AAUACGCCGAGGCGUGAUGGAGGAACAACCCUUCGGGGGAGCCAAUUGUCCCUAAUCAGGCUGCCGAGAAAAGCCUCUAAGGAGAGACAAGACAGACCGUACCGUAAACCGACACAGGUGGGUGAGGAGAGUAUCCUAAGGUGCUCGAGAGAACCCUGGUGAAGGAACUCGGCAAAAUGGCUCCGUAACUUCGGGAGAAGGAGCGCCACAAGUACGUGAAGCGAUUCGCUCGUGAAGCAGAAAGUGGCCGCAGUGAAAAGGCGUUGGCGACUGUUUACUAAAAACACAGGUCUCUGCGAAAUCGAAAGAUGACGUAUAGGGACUGACACCUGCCCGGUGCCGAUCUGUUAAGAGGAGAGGUUAGCCUUCGGGCGAAGCUUUGAAUCGAAGCCUCGGUAAACGGCGGCCGUAACAAUAACGGUCCUAAGGUAGCGAAAUUCCUUGUCGGGUAAGUUCCGACCUGCACGAAUGGUGUAACGAUCGACGCGCUGUCUCCACCAGGGGCUCGGCGAAAUUGAGUUGGCGGUGAAAACGCCGCCUACCCGCGACUAGACGGAAAGACCCCGUGCACCUUUACUGCAACUUCACAUUGGGUCUUGGCAUUACUUGUGUAGGAUAGCUGGGAGGCUGUGAAACGGGCACGCCAGUGUUCGUGGAGCCAACGUUGAAAUACCAGCCUGGUGAUGUUAGGAUUCUAACUCCGUUCCGUAAUCCGGGCGGAGGACAGUGUGUGGUGGGUAGUUUGGCUGGGGCGGUCGCCUCCGAAAAAGUAACGGAGGCGCGCAAAGGUUCCCUCAGCGUGUUUGGUAAUCACGCGACGAGUGUAAUGGCAUAAGGGAGCUUAACUGCGAGACCUACAAGUCGAGCAGAUGCGAAAGCAGGUCAUAGUGAUCCGGCGGUCCCGCAUGGAAGGGCCGUUGCUCAUCGGAUAAAAGGUACGCCCGGGAUAACAGGCUGAUCUCCCCCAAGAGUCCACAUCGACGGGGAGGUUUGGCACCUCGAUGUCGGCUCAUCACAUCCUGGGGCUGGAGAAGGUCCCAAGGGUUUGGCUGUUCGCCAAUUAAAGUGGUACGCGAGCUGGGUUUAGAACGUCGUGAGACAGUUCGGUCCCUAUCUGUCGUGGGCGCAGGAGAUUUGAAGGAAGCUGUCCCUAGUACGAGAGGACCGGGAUGGACGUACCACUAGUGUACCAGUUGUCUCGCCAGAGGCAGUGCUGGGUAGCUAGGUACGGCCGGGAUAAACGCUGAAAGCAUAUAAGCGUGAAGCCCCUCCUAAGAUAAGAUCUCCCGGACGAAAGUCCCUGAAGGCUCGAGGUAGACUACCUCGUUGAUAGGCUACAGGUGUAAGCGCAGUAAUGCGUUCAGCCGAGUAGUACUAAUAAGCCGUGAGGCUUAAUCAU
rnacentral:rRNA from 1 species